UCCAAAAAAAACAACAAAAGAGCCACGUCUUUCUCUCUCUUCGGCCAUACUCUCUUCUCUCUCUCUGUAAGCCGCAUCUCUCUCUCUUUCUAGCGAACGCCUACCAACCAUGGCCGGUGACGACACCAACAGCCGUCAGCCACUAGUCCAACGCCGCCACUGAUGGACCAGCAACACCCAACUACCGUCGCCGCCUCAUCCUCUCAAGCCACGACCAGCAACAGUACCACGUCGCCACUCCACUGUCGGCUGAUGUCCAGCAAAACCAGGCCACCAGUGAUCUCCAUCAAUCCGCCACCUUGUUCCGCCGCUGCCCGUGAUUCCAAUUGAAAUUCAUCGAAAAAUCAUUUAAAAGUGCAUGACGUAUUCACAAAUCCGUCUCAGGCCAUGCUAACAGAUUUGUGGCAGAAAGUUAGUCGAUUCGUGGGAUUUGAAGAGUUGUCCGGGAGUUGGAGAGGGGCAUCUUAUUCCUUUCUUGGUUUAGUCUUGUUUUUUUGUUAUCAUUAUUCAUUGGUCUGUAUUUUAUUGUAUAAACCUCAUUGAUGUAAUAAUAAAUUAUAUGAGCUGCUUGGGGGCA